GAUGAACGCUGGCGGCGUGCCUAAUACAUGCAAGUCGAGCGACCGGACGAGAAGCUUGCUCCUCUGCUGUUAGCGGCGGACGGGUGAGUAACAAGUGGAUCACCUACCUCUAAGACUGGGAUAACUUCGGGAAACAGGAGCUACUAACGGAUAAUACUUCGAACGGCAUGGAUCAAAAGAUAAUGACGGCUUUGCUGUUACUUUUAGAUGGUUCCGCGCUGCAUUAGCUAGUUGGUAAGGUAACGGCCUACCAAGGCAACGAUGCAUAGCCGACCUGAGAGGGUGAUCAGCCACACUGGAACUGAGACACGGUCCAGACUCCUACGGGAGGCAGCAGUAGGGAAUCUUCCGCAAUGGGCGAAAGCCUGACGGAGCAACGCCGCGUGAGUGAUGAAGGUCUUCGGAUCGUAAAACUCUGUUAUUAGGGAAGAACAUAUGUGUAAGUAACUGUGCACAUCUUGACGGUACCUAAUCAGAAAGCCACGGCUAACUACGUG
rnacentral:rRNA from 1 species